UCUUCAGUUUGGUUCAGCACUUUAUGACUUCACUGCUGGUGGUGAUGAUGAGUUAAAUCUGACAGCAGGAGAAGAGGUUGAAAUUGAAUAUGAAGUUGAUGGCUGGUUCUAUGUAAAGAAAAAACACCCCGGAAGAGAUCAC